rnacentral:rRNA from 1 species
AGUGAACGCUGGCGGUAGGCCUAACACAUGCAAGUCGAACGGCAGCACAGUAAGAGCUUGCUCUUACGGGUGGCGAGUGGCGGACGGGUGAGGAAUACAUCGGAAUCUACUUUUUCGUGGGGGCUAACGUAGGGAAACUUACGCUAAUACCGCAUACGACCUACGGGUGAAAGCAUGGGAUCUUCGGACCUUGCGCGAUUGAAUGAGCCGAUGUCGGAUUAGCUAGUUGGCGGGGUAAAGGCCCACCAAGGCGACGAUCCGUAGCUGGUCUGAGAGGAUGAUCAGCCACACUGGAACUGAGACACGGUCCAGACUCCUACGGGAGGCAGCAGUGGGGAAUAUUGGACAAUGGGCGCAAGCCUGAUCCAGCCAUACCGCGUGGGUGAAGAAGGCCUUCGGGUUGUAAAGCCCUUUUGUUUGGAAAGAAAAGCAGCAGGUUAAUACCCCGCUGUUCUGACGGUACCCAAAGAAUAAGCACCGGCUAACUUCGUG